rfam:Lactobacillus crispatus ST1 complete genome, strain ST1
CAAGAGUUAGUCAAUGCGAUUACUCCCCAGAUGGAAUAUCGGAAUACUGAUGAAGA